UGUGAUAAAAUUUGUAAUUUUCUCUCAUGUCGUGUUUGGAUAUUAGUCAAAGUGAUUAUUCAUUGAUGUGGUUCCCUGAAACUCAUCCUACAAAUUAAUAUUUGACGGUUAUUUUUACAACUUGAUGAUUGAGAUGUAAUAGGAGAAUUGUGAUGGAAUGAUUGGGCAUAGAUAGGUUGAGAGUUAAAGACUUUUAUUGAGUGGUGCUUGAGGGCAAGCACAAAAUAAGUGUGGGAGAGUUUGAUAGUGCCUAAAAAUGACAUCAUUAUCACUUACUUUUUAGUUAUUAAACUUGAUAGUAUGCUAUCUAAUCCGAACUAUUUUAUAUAUUUUAUUGUAGAACAGAAAAUAAGGACGAAAUAAGGAAAAACAACAUGA
rnacentral:lncRNA from 1 species